UUUCCUGUGGCUCAGUUGGUAGAGCAUUGCAAAAACAAUGGAAAGCUCAUGGGUUCAAAUCUCAAGGAAAA